GGAUCAUUGUGGCUGUGGUCACUGGGAUUGCUGUAGCGGCCAUUGUUGCUGCUGUAGUGGCCUUGAUCUACUGCAGGAAAAAGCGGAUUUCAGCCACCUGGACGUCAAAUGAUUGCCAUCAGAAAGAGACAACCUGAAGAAACCAACAAUGACUAUGAAACAGCUGACGGCGGCUACAUGACUCUGAACCCCAGGGCACCUACUGACGAUGAUAAAAACAUCUACCUGACUCUUCCUCCCAACGACCAUGUCAACAGGCUGUAUUGAUUGGGGUGUAGACUGAACUAUCCGGGGUCUGUUUCUUUUCGGUGAUGAAAGUCUUGAGAAGGUAGUAAUGGAUAAGAUGUGAAGGAGAGGAGAGAUGGAGAUUUGGAGUGUAGGCGGAAAUCCGAACGCCAGAAGAUCUGAAUGGAAUGUUCUGGAUUGAAGAAAGUGGGAAAUGGCCUCAAUUCACAAAGUCACAGCCUGAUAGAAACCAGUGUGACUUUACUGCCCAGUGAACCCAUCUCGUCCUCCAGCCUUUAGGAGGUAGGUUGGACUGGAGCCUGCAGUAGUUUACUCUCCACCUGAGUCCUGGUCUCCGGCUGGGAACCCACUUAGGCCAUAGAGAAAAACGCACACUGUGCCUCUCCACCGGGCCUCUGGAGACGAGGCUCCUCGGGGAUACAAACAGUGGGGAGAACAUGAGGGACAUCCUGACCGUACACUGCGUCCUCCUUUCCCAGGUGUUGCGUUCUCUCUUGGGUUGAGUGGCGAGGUCUCUCCCGAGUCCCAGGGCCACAGUGCAAUGUCACAUCUCCUUUGUGGAAAGUGACUGGUAAAAGAGAACAAAACUGGAGGAACCUAAAGUCUUCGGCCACCUGGUUUAAUUUAUUCAAGAGUGAUUAAUCCUAGAUGAGAAAAAGAAUUGAAAUGGAUCGGAAAAAACCAAGCGUGCAUUGGCCGGUAAUCGGACGCGGGCCUCCCGCGUUGCGGGCGAGAAGUCUACCACUACACCACCAAUGCUAAUGUCGAUGAAAGAGCUGCAGUGUCAUCUCUUAAAGCUGAUUAUCUCUGGCCAUUCCUUAAGGAAACAGGCACUGUCUUAAAUCGUGGUUUGGA
rnacentral:lncRNA from 1 species